GUUUGAGUAGGAAGAUGGACCAAGGUGAAGGGAGGCAUCAGGAACUUGAUCCUAGGAGAAGUAAAAAUGAAGUUGGCACACCUCAAGCUCCUUCACUCUUCCUCUGGUGCAAAAUCAUCCUGGGAAUUCUGCUGUUGGGAAGCAUUGCUCUAAAAUUGGCUGUGAUUCUUCUCCUCUUCUCAGCUUCCCAGUGUAAGGACAACAAAGCUGAUCCCAUGUUUAAAGCAAAAAAUAUUCAUCAG